UUACUUUCCUGGAUCCGGAUCCUCGGCAGUUAAUAUCUCUACAGCAGUGCCUGCUGCGAGUAUCUCACCCGUGAGAUCAAUCCAACGGUUGGCAUAAAGGAUAUAAACUGAUACAAGAAUACGACAAAACCCCCAAUCCCAAUUUUUGUAGUUAUAGAUUGACCAACAACCAGCUAUUCGGUGGCGGAUAAAGCUGGAAUCUUUUCUUUUACUUAUCAACUACUAAAGCUGCAAUCUUUUUGGCGUCUCUAUUCAAUACAUUUUGUAGGUUGUAUCUUCUAAACCUCUCAAACUCUUGUAUCCUUUAUUUAAAAAAUAAGCAACUGAAAGUGUUAUUGAGCAAUGGUUCUGAUAAAUUAGACAAACGAUAACUUCAAGUUUUUUUGGAAUAAAACCCACCCCCACACAUUAUGCUAUUUAUUGGACUCUUUUAGUGAAGGAUUUGUCUUGCCCUCAAACUGAUGAAAUGUUGAACCCGUGUUUGGUUAUGGACAUCGUUUAUGGACUUCGGUUUAUAGGCACAAGAGUUGCGAAUAACUCUAUUGGACA
rnacentral:lncRNA from 1 species